rnacentral:misc_RNA from 1 species
GAAAGUCUUGAGCCGAUAAUAAGUCGUGUGUUACGUCGAAUGUGUGUUGUGUAGGUUAGUGUUACACGUGAAGAUGGUUAUCAAGAGCAACUCUCCUACCGGCUAUGUUUUACAAAGACCAUGGACCCCCACCAAACGACGUGGACCAAUCGCAGCGGAACAUAUAGGUCCUGGCCCCGCCUAUAUUUCCUUGCCCUCAACAUUUGGCCUGGGCAGCGGAGAUACCAGUUAUUCGAAAUCUCCUUCAUACACGUUUGGGUCUAAGGUUGAAGCAAGGAGGAAGAAUUUCACUCCUGGCCCCGGUUCUUACGAUAUUGCUGGGAUAUCGGAAAAAGGCAAGGAAACCGUACCGGCACCUUCAAUAUCUGGAAGGAUGAAGGACCCAGACAAAUUUAUAACCCCCGCUCCAGGGGCUUAUACACCAGAACAAAGUGUUAAGACCUUUCAAAAUGGGUCACCCAGCUAUUCCUUUGGAGUCAAAUUAAAAGAUCAGAAGAAAGACAAUUACCCAGCACCAAACACUUACAAUGUGAAUGGAGAAGACGUGAGCUAUCCCCACUCUCCAUCAUAUUCCAUGGGUGCUAAACUUAACCAUGAAAGAAUCAACAAUACACCUGGACCUGGGGCUUUUUCACCUGAGAAGGUUCGUGUUGCUUCCCAGCAAGCCCCUGCUUACAGUUUUGGAAUUCGCCAUUCUCCUUACGCCUCCAAAACGCCUUCCUAGUCUGAUGCUUGUCUAACACCACGAGCUGAAGACAGACUCCUACUUCCACUUUUAGAAUUCCCCAUUCUCCUUACGUCCCCCAAAACGUCCUCCUAGUCUGAUGCAUGAGACACUAGCACCACGAGCUAAA